GUGGGGAUUGUCUAAGAAGCUACUAAUUGCCCCGGGGCAAAAACUGUGGAGAAAACAUUAAUUAAACAGUAUGGAUACCAGUGACCUGGCCUUAACGUGUUCACUAACACAUAUUAAGCCAAAGCUUCUUAGUACUGACGAGAAAAGGGAAUUGGCAGUGUAUCUUUAUAUAAGGGGCUUUAUUUGUUCAGUUUUCAUUUCGAUAUUUAUAGGAAAUUAUAUAGAAAAAGAACUGUUAUAGGUUAUGUAAAAUCUUGGAAGUACAAGCUAGGGUUUGAGUUGUGAAGGUAGCACAAUUUACAGAAAUUUAGGCAUUUUUAAAUCUUGGGUGUGAUAUGAAGCAAAGAUCCUUGACAAAAAAUCCUAAUGGUGAAUUUAAAUGACUGCUGUAGUGCAAACAUCCAGAUAUGUGAAUUACAAUUGCACAGGUAGUCCUACUGGUAGUAUCUUACUUUAGUCAUUAUACUUUUAUGUAUAAAUGAAGCAUUUCUAACUCAAUCUAACCCAAAAAUACUACCCAGUCUCCAUGUGAACACAAGGCAAGACACGUAGGAUUUCAAAGUUAAUUUCUAUCAUUCUAUCAUUCUAUUCUCUAGAGUAAUUUUUUUGGCAAAAGAAUAUUUUUUUUUCUCAUGCUUUCUCAUAAUUCAACCAAUCUUAGGCUGUUAAGUGGUAAGUUUCAUGGAAAACGACUGUGUUUUUUGACUCAUGGGUUUCCAUCUGUGUUUAACUUUCAUUGCAGAGCUUACUAGAAAUCCAGUUAAUAAAGCCACUGGAAUCUAGAGAGCUGUUCUGCUGACCAAGCUGUGCAGAGGACUCAGUUUCACCAGUGUUCAAUAACUUUUCUGACAUCUUGGACUGUCCAAAACAUCUCAUGGGAGUAGACUUCUUAUUAUGAUAGGAUUUUUAAGGCACACCCACUUGUCUCUAGAGCUAGGCCAGGCUAAAUACUCUUAGAAAAAUGGCACUGGAAAACAGGAAACUAAACCUAAGCAUUGCCUUAUGGGUCACACAGUCCUUUCCAGGAGUCACAGGACCUGUAGCCACAUAUUGGCCUUCAGUCCAAAACAAAAUCUCUGCCACUGUGUUGGAGAGAGAAGGGGAAGGCUGAACACCUUGAAGUCUUGUUAAAAAAAAAAUAAAAUCAAAAGCAAUAUAUUUCCAUCUUCCUUCACAUAACUGUAUUGUUCAUUCUACUCAUACCUUCUUAUUGAAAACAUGUAAACCAGAAAGGGAUCUCAUUUUUCAUUACUUUUUUUUUCCUAAAAGGGAUAUUCAGAAGUGUAGACCAUUUUAAUUAGGAGCUUCUAAUAAGUCUAAGGUCUCUUAUGUCAGACUUGGAAGAAAUCGAUCCUUUCACAGUGAGAGCAUUACAAAGAAUUCCAAAAUCCUUUUUCAGUCCAUGUGAUCUGUGCUGAGAUAUAUUCACUGGGGAAUGAAUAUCUUUCAUCACACUACAUGAAAUUUCAUUCUAGUACAUUAACAUUAAGAAUACUUUUUUUUCCCUAUAAAGCUUUUGGUAAGAAUUUAUAUGCACUGUCACAUACUAGGGUGUCUCUGUGUAUGUUUCAUGGCAUGUAGAAUAAUGAUAGCAUAAACCUGAGAUACAGCAUAAAUGUCAGCACACUCCCUCAGCUGUUUCAUAUAACCAGUUCAGCUUCUUAAUGUGUCAUCCUAAAAGUAGCUGUCUUAUAUCUGCUGUGUUCACCUACAAUAGAGAGAUAUCUACCUCUGUAUUGCUGCUAUUUUAGAAAAUAGCUUACACUGACAGCAAUUCUGUUUUCCUUUAGAAAAUCCUUGAAACAAAAUGGUUGUAUCUGUUGCUUUCUUGUCUAAAGUAAGUAUCUGUCAUUUAUACUGUGCCAGACCCCUUGAAAGGGCUUUUCAAAAGUUAAUAACUAUUUUUUGCAACACUCAGUGCAUUAGGAUUUGCUCAUUUGUCAGCUAGGUAAUUGAAGAUGUAAGGAGGAAAAGUGACUUAGUCAAGGCUGCACACGAAGCUGGCAAUAGCAAUAGGUGUAGAGUUUAAAUCUUUUCUUUCCACUGCUCUAUUGAAUGCUUUUCCACUUUGUGAAUAAAGACCAUUUCAUUCUGUUUUUCUCAGGACCGUGGAACUAAUUCAUCAGUGAGGAGAAAUAAGUUGGUCUUUUUUUUCCUGUUUUUUUUUUUUUUUUUAUGUAAAAAAAUUUUCUCAAAUUUUGAAAGCUCUUGUCCAGCUGAACAGCAAUCAAAGCUGGUUUGCUGUUUGCUUUGGAGAUGACCAUUCACCUACUCCAGAUUAGGUGACAGACUCCAGUACUUUGUCCAAAGACAGAGUUCCUGAAGUUUAGGAUGGGAGAGCAGACUUUCCAAGGAUAACAACUCUCUUUGCCAAUACACUGUUGCUUGCAUCAAUUGGGAAAUAUCACCUUUCUUUUUUUUAUACAAUCCAUAAAAGUGGAGUGGGAUUUUAUUAUAUUCAUUUUAUACCCCCUCUGUAAAGUAGAACUAAGCACUAUAUUUUUAACAAAGAUACAUAACUACAUGAACAAUGAGUCAUCUGGUCAAAUGUAGUCAUCUGACUAAUAGUUCACAAUACUCAUAUACUAGAACUAACCUGUUCAGUUGUGGUAAUCCAGACUGAGAUAUCUAAGUUUACUGAUGAGUGUUGUCAAUGCUGCAUUCUGUUACAUACAGAAAUUCAGGACCUAUUUUUGUUUCCCAGACUAGCCAAAACAUGGUAGAUUUUCAUAGAUUUUUUCAUGGGUAUAGAGUAGAAUAUAUUGAAUUCCAAUGGCAGACAGCUUAAGGGAAAAAUUGAAAAAGGUAUGGACUUUUUUCUUCAGUUCUGUGAUCUAACACAGGCUAAAAAGCAGACUAAACCCUGGAGAGUGGUAUUAAGUCCAUGAGGUAUCCUAAGGCUGAUGGGCAGUGAACUCUGCUUGCAGAAGGUGCCGUGGGGAACUUAAUAAUAAAUUCACAGCACAGAGGUGUAUCUGUGAUCAGAUCACUUCACUUGCAUUUCAUUUAACUGUCCUAUUGGGAGGAGAGAGUAUUAUUACGAACAGUCUAAGGAACAGCCCCUGGCAUAUUUUCCCACAACUAUGUUGAGUAUUGUCUGGAAAAAUAUGAGAAAGCAAAGAUAAAACCAUGCCUAUGAGCUUGCUUACAAUUAAUACCACAGGUGGUUUCCUAUCACUGAACCCAAUUGUGCCUUAGUCUUAUUUUGUUUAAUAGGGUAGACUUAGCCUAAAAACCUAAGUUCAGCUUUGUCAAGUGGAAUGUCCAACAAAGUCAAUCUCUAGUGUUUUGGCCCAACAUUGUUUGCAUGUUGUUUUUGUUUGCAUUAUUUAGUUAUUGCAAUCUUUCUACUUUUCACUUCUAUGCAAUACGCAUAGCAGAAAAAAAUUCUAUACAAUAGUACUGACAAAAGUUGAACUUUGUCUUUAGAUUAUGACUGCAUUAAUUCGGAAAGAUAGCACCAUUUGAUCUUAUUUUUCUACCCUAUAUGAAAUUUCUUUCUUUCUUCUCACCUCUGUUAACAUAUCCUUUUAUAUCUAAUUGAUUUCUCAUUCCAUCCACAUCUGCAUAAAUUUACGGUUCCAUAAAUCAGUAUGCAAAUGCAGGCUGAACAGCCCUACUGUGUAGGUGUGAAUAGGUCACCGUUGCCAUAAUUAGCAGCACACCUGCUGAUGUUGAUGGUUAUUUAUUGUUUCUUUGUUAUAUUGUGUCAGAAGAAACUAAAGAUCAUUUUGUUACCUAGAAUUUCUGACUAAAUUUGAUAGACAGCAGUGGAAAGGGGAAACUCAUAUGAAUUUUAUCUCACUCACAAAUUACCAUUUUUUUAAAGGGCAGGUUCAAUUCACUGAGAAAAUUCUUAAGAUAAAUUAUACAUUUGUGUUCAUUACUUAAAAGGGUUAUUUGAUGGAAGAAUUUUUUUACAUUAUUUCAUCAAGUAAAAGGUUUCCCUUGCCAAGUGCUAGUCCUUGUACACAAUUACAUUUACGUAAAAAAAAAAUAAAUUACAUUUUUUCCAGAACAAUUCUUGUAUGUGCAUUUUCUAGUGUAAAUUUUUCUAAGUUGUAAGUCUGGGUGUUACUGGCAGUAAACAUUGCAAAUUUUCUAUACUGAUAUUCCUAAACUGAAAUUGCAAUACAUCUUAAACUUAAAAUCUUAAAAUACUUUUAGUAAUGCAGUCUGCUAUGCAGAUGAAAGCUAUCUGUAUACUGAACUGCAUUAGUCACAGCCUGGUAGCAUGUCAAUGGAAAUGAUUAUUCCCCUCUGUUCAGCACUUGUGACAUCACGUCUAUUCUGCAUUCAGUUUUAGAAUCACUUGUGCAAGGAAGACUUUAAAAACUAAGUCCAGCAAAAGGCCAUUCUUAAGUACAAUUUAGAGGACUGAAGAACUGGAAAACCAAAGAGACACUGAAAAAAAUGGGUUUAUUCAGUCUGAACAGAAGAAAGUUGAUAGAACUGAAAGACUGUUUUCACCUAUCUGAUGCAGGAUUGUGGAGGAGUCAGACUCUUGGAGGUGCACAGCAAAUGCAUAAAAGCAGAGAUGCAAGUUGCAGAAAGGGAAAUUCAGACUGGCUAUAAGGAAAAAAAAAUUGCAAUGAUGGUGGUAAGAACAUGAAUGCAGGGCCCAAAGGCCCUCGGGGGUCCUCAUCCCAUAGAUAUUGAAAAUUUGAUUGAUCUGGAAGUCAUAUCCUCUGAGAAGUGUAAGAGUUCUGAGGAAUGAUCUGCUUUGUAUUGUAUACAAAUGGCUUCCAAUUAUUUGAAGCAAACACAUAACUGAUCAGCAUUGCUACAAUCUCUUGCAUUCUGUAUUGCAAUGCUUUUCUUGCUGCCAAAGACAACUUUUAUAUUUUCCUGACAUAAAACAGACUUGUCAGUACUUUGCAACCUAAAUUUCUAAUGGAGGCUGCUAUUAGAACUGAUGCAGUCUCAGUGACAAGUUUGCUUUACCCUGCAAAGGAAAUGGUAUGUGUAUUGACACAGAGGAUGUCCUUUGACACGUCAAAGAUGUUUUCUUUUUCAUGCAAAAGAGAGGACAGCAAGUGGCAGUGUAUGAGGAUUAAUGUAUACUUCAGUAGGGUAUGUUUCCUCUUUCCUGUGUUUUGACCAAAUAUUGCCUUUAAGCAUCCUAAAAUGGAAUACCUGGAGCUAAAAUGUAAGAAACAAAGGAGUAUAUAAAAGUAUUCAGCAGCUUGAAUAGUGCUGCAGGUAUCUGAACCUUUGUUAGUGCUACUAAUGUUUUUGUAUCCUCCUCAUGUCUGUAUCUUAUGGACUCAUAUGAGUUCUAGAAUCCAAUUUUCACCUAAGAAGCUCAUGCAAUACUUGUAUCAAAUCCAUACUGCUGGUCAUGGAUAAGUCCAAAGAAAGGUCACAGUGAAGACAGGAAGUCAUAUUUUAUUUGGGAAUGUUUGGGGUUUUUUGUAGUUCCCAAGGCCAUUCUCUAAUUGCUAGACUCAGGAUGUUAAGACAUCACACCAACCCGAUUGAGUCAGGAUGCCUCAUCAGCACUCUUAUCAAUAAGAGGAAAAAAAGAGUCAGGAUUAAUAAAAGGAAACAGAAACUAUAAAGACAGUACAAAGAAAAAAAAAAGUGGAAGAUGGAUAUAAGAAUAUUUUCUAGAAGAAAAUCUAGAUAAUAAAAGGGGUAGAAAAACAGGCUGAGAAGAAAACUAGUGAAGAAAUUAUGUUCUGCACUUGGGAAUCAAUACAUUGCAGUUUAAGAAGCCUGGAAGGAAAAGAGUCUUCUGAGACUUACAUGCUAAACUGAAGAUAUAUUAUUCUAUUCUACCAUGCAAUGUCAAAUGUCUCUUGAAAACCUAAAUAGAUUAUGUCUACCACUUCAGUCCUAUCUGCUCCCUGCAUUCUCCUUAUGAUAAGACAGAGAUUUAUAUUCUUAUUCUUCUCUGAUAGGUGCAUCAAUUUCUGCUGUCAGGUUGCCUGUCCGAAUAACAAACCUGCAUAUCACAGAACUGUUUUAAAUGUAAUGUUGAUAGAUGUUGUUUGUGUGCACUUGGCAUCAACUUACAGUCACUUCCCUACAAAUCGCAACCUUCUCAAGAAACACUUAUUUUCUAUCUUUCCCAUAUUCUCAUCAUCAAGAAUUAAUUAUGGUCAGAGAGCCAUUAUUUGGGAUAUUUCUAGGAAUUUUAUGCUUCCCUGUCACUAAAAUGAUUCACUAAGCUGUUUGGAGUACCCCACUUUUUCUGGCUUCAAAAACCCCGGUUUGCAUUUUGGGGACGGAAGAGUUGCCAACACUGAACAAAGAUGACUAUUUUCAGUGAAAUCUCUGGUCUCAUAAAGCAUUGAAAAAUGUUCUCCUGCCUCCAUAGCUGCUGCUGCUGCCUGCCAGCACUCACUCGUGCCCUCUCCAGGACCUUGCACUGUCUCAGCUCCAGGCAGUAGCCCCCCGCUCCUCCCUCCUGCCUACUGCACACACCUACUUCUGCCUUUCCUCUACUCCCAGCUAGAUUAUUUGUCCAAAUACAAUUUCUUUCUCCAGAUUCACACUCUCUUCUGCUUGUUACUUUUCCCUCACAGAAGCAAUGCAUGGCAACUAAACCUUGACCAAGUACAGUCUUGGCCAGUACAGUCAAUGACAAAACCUGGGUUCUUUCAAGAUGUUGCUUCAGCUCCUUCUCUCCUGGACCUACAGCAAGGAAAUAUAAACAUCUCCCAGAAUGAAAAAAGCCAAGUUUUAAUCUCUCCUGAGUAUUGUUGCACUGGUUUCUUAAGUAAACAGGAUACAGAAGUAAAGUCAGAACAAUUUUUUAUGCAAAUAAUGAACUGCGUACUGGCUAAUACUACACCAUUAUUAAAACUCUUCUUGUUUGGGCUUUUUUUAUUUUGAAAAUUCUAUUUUGACAAUAUUAUUCUCCUAUAUAUUUUGCAUUCUUAAUUCACCUCCCUCAUAACUCACAGAGAAGUGAUUUCACACACUGCUCUGCACACUGCAUAGGAACUGUCAAUUUCUUGAAUAAGCUGUAGAAACCUUCAUCAGUUUUUCAGUUUCAGACUUCUUUAAACAUUCAGUUUGCAAAACUGGUAUUUUACUUGUAAUCUAUCUUUAUAAACUCACAGAAAGUCUGUUGUAAUGCACUGUGUUUGCUCUUUUCGUCCCUAUCUUCAUAUAUCCAUGCAACAUUCACAGACAUUCAGUGUGUAUCACAUGCAACAGUAUAUUCUAAAUGUUAUUCCUUGCAUUUUAAAGUCAUUUUGCCUCAAGUAUUUCAGUAUUAUCAGAUUAAAGCUCACAGUCAUGUGGGAUCAAUAUUUUUAUAUGAUUACAUAUAACUUGUUUAAAAACUAUUUGAACAAUGCUUAUGAAUGUACCUUAUUGAUUUCUACUAAAUAUGAUAAAUUUUUCCUUGUUGUUCCUACCACAAGAGAGUCAGUAGGAAACUUAUCACAGUGGAUCUUUGGACCAAACUUAUAAAACUGACAUUAUCAUUAAAGUUAAUGCUUAGCAAUGACCACGACAGAAUGAAGAUGGCCUCAAUUCUUACGUAAUUCUACCAUAGUAAGUAGAAUUAAGCAACAGAAGUGCUAUGCAUGUUACCUGCAAGAAAUCUUGCUUAUUUUUUCAUGAGUGCCUGCAUACCAAUUUCUACCAGAAUGCAGUUAAAUCUCUGCUAAAAGACAUCUAAUGGAAGAGUUCUGCCUAUUGCAAUGAUACAAGCAUUGCAAGAAUUUCUUAUCAGCCUGAAAAAUGAACUCACAUUUCAAUAGUCAACAUGACUGGAAAAUUUCCAAUUCAAAAUAUUAGUUAUUGAGUUUAUUCAAAACAAUAGGUAAGACCAUCAAGAGAACUGUUUCAAACUUAGCUAGGUGAUGGCAUUUUAUUUUUUCAGUUUUGGGUGAAAAAUCAAAAUACUAAACCAUUCAUGCAAAAUGGAAUUUUGGAAAACAUCCAUUUUAAAUUAAAAAUUUAGAUUUGAAACUUAAUUUCUCAAUUUCAUUCCAUUUCAUUUCAUUAAUUUAAAUAUCAAAUUAACUGACUCAAGUGUUAUACAUUAUGAAAAAAUCCAGUUGAUCAAAACUAGCCCUUUCCUGAAUACAGUUUCAAUUCAUCAUGUUCUUUACAGCUAUACAUUUCCAAUGAAGCAAUCAGAUAUUUCCUACUACAUCCUGAAUAUAUCAUUUUUCGAGGACAUGAAUCUUACAAUAAAUAUGUCACUUUUUCUGAUGAUUGAAGAAAUCAGCAGUCCUGUUAACUAUUUUGCCUAGAGAGUUAAAUGUGACCAAUUUUUGAAAGAAAUAUCCUUAAUUCCUGAAAUAAAGGGUUUUUUUAACAGAUUUUAAAACAUAUGUAAAAUGUAAAUGCCCAAUCACAAUGACAUUCAGAAUAUUCUUCAAUUUUUUUUCUAAGUUAGAUGAGAAUUUAGUAACAUAACAGUAGUAUAUUGGAUAGCAUAGAAUUGUAUUUUGCUACAGUGUUACAGAUUGUUAUAUUGUAUUAUUGUAUUUCUGAAAGAAUGUCUAGUUUCUUUACAAUGUUUUGGCCAAUAAUGCACAUUCAGUUUUUUAUUCCUCUUCCUUGAUGCAUUUACAAUUACAAAAUUUAUUCAGAGACCAGAGGGUUGAUUCUAAAGGUUAAAUAGGCUAUAGUUUAAACAAUGAUUACAGGGUGUAAUAAAAAGAAGCAGAUUGUUCCAGCAAAUAAUUUUGCAAUAUGACAAACAAUCUCAAUCCAUGAAAAACAAAACAAAACAAGAAAUUACCCAAAACCAACAAAGCAAACAAACAGAAGCAGCAUACAAGUCUAAAUGUUACUGUGAGUUUAACCAAUGUCUGGAAAGAAUAAUGGAAGGAAACAGCUGUUUCAUUAAAAACUUGAGUCAAAUAACUCAAGAAAAAUUCUUACAUCAGAUCCUCGGUGUAAAUUGUUGUGGCUGUGUUACCUUCUUGAACAUUUAGAAAGGACUCUUCAUGUAGGUAUCAUAGCAAGUUUUGCUGAGUGAGGAUCUGUCUACUGAGUAGACAGAUUUUGAACAAAUGUAUUUUGAACAAAUUCAUUGAGUCAGUGACUUGAUCAAUCUUAUUCCAGGACUUCUACUUUUGUAUCUCUUUGUUUCAGCUGUAAAGUGAAGGCUUAUGCGAAGUGAACUACAUCUAAUUAAUCGAGGAGUUCACAUCUUCCAUGACUGCAAUUCUUUGAAGUGUUGGGAGAAACAGAAAUAUUUAUCAUGUUCUCAAGGUGGUUUCUGAAGCUUUCAGCCUUGUAUCUAGAUUACAGCCAAUGCCUCUUUCGUCAGCCCUUUCGUAGACUGUGAAAUCAGCAGUUUAAAAAGACAUUCUCAGCACAGGAAGCACAGGGGAACUAAUACAUAUAAUCGAUCUUCAGACUCACAAGAAACCUGCUAACAGGGUUUUAUUUCUGUAGUCAUCCAAAGGAUUAGACUGCUUGGAAAAACACUUUCACUCUCUUUCUGCCUCUUACUCUCUGUGUACCUUAGCCCUUUUUCCUCUCUGUGAUAAAACUACAUGUUGUCUAUAUUUUCUUUUUAAUUAUUUUUGUAAAAUAUCCAUUGCUACUUUUUCACUCAGCCAAGCACAUUCUGCAGUGAGAUCACAGCUGCUUAUAACACUUGAAAGACACUCAGCACAGUAUCCUCAAUAAAAAAGAAACCCAAACCCUACUAUAGGGUUUAUUUUUGCUGUUUUGGAACUUCAUCCUGAAAGAAAAUAGCAACAGCACAGCUUUUAUAUCUCUCAUUAAGUGUACGUGAAAUGCUAUAGAACUAAAUAAGUUAAUAUUAUCUUCUCAAGCUAGUGGUGUCUUGAUCAUUGAUAAGUAGAAACUUAUAUUUACUGUGCAGUGUUUUAAUUCCCCCUGGCACGUUAUUCACUCCUGAAUGCACAAUUUGGUUUAUAGGUAUGGUUCCACUUUCUUACAUACCCACUGUGCUCUCUCAUUGUUUUCUGUUCCUUUCAGCCAUUUCUCUGAGAUACUGUAAUAAUCUGGAUAUCUCCCAGUCACUUCAUUAGUCUCCUCCGUUAGCCAUCCUCAUAGUGAGUUCUUGACAACACUCAUCAAUUCUGGAUGCUUCAAUUAAUUGAACCAGCACCUAUCUUCUCUCUACUUCUGUUAGCUCCUUCCACCAGUACUUUAAAAAUACCCAGCAAAGCAAUACUGUGGGAUGGUAACAGCUCAGUGACUUCAACACAGCGAGAAUGAGCUGAUAAUUUCAUCAGAAAUUUUAGUCAGAAAUAUCCUGCCAUCUCCCCCUGCUCCAAAUUCAAUUUUCAGCUCUGUUUCUAGGGACUCGUAAUAACAUAGAUAUCAAGAAAGAUAGAUGAACUAUACUUCUUUUGAUUUUUUUUUCCCCUGCGUCUUAGUAGGGGUAUGUUGUUUCCUGGAUUGAUGAGCUCAUGAGAGAGUAAAUUCAGAGGCCUUAAAGAAAAUGUGCAGUCCUUUCCAGUUGUCCUCUAUUCAUGCAUUUGGGAUCAACAUGUAAGUGCAUGUGUGUGUUUGUGUGUCUAUGCAUGUCUGGUGUGACCUGAAACUUCUAAACACUAAGUAAAUUGUUCCACCCAAUUAUUUAAUUUUGAAUUUAUUAUCUAUGUAACAAUCAAAAAUAAUAUUUGCAUGUUUUUAUGGAAAUUCAAGCGAACUAAGAAGGAAGAAACAGUCUUUGCUGUAAUCCUUCACUGGAGUAUAUACUUGCUAGUAAAUGCUUUCAAAUUAAUACUUGUGUAUUUCCCAUUAAUUUAUUGGUUUUUUACUUUUAACCAUAACAAAUAAUUUGAGAUCUGGCCCAAUGCAAACACAAAUUAAAUCUACUCUUCUCCUGGAGCUGUUCAGUAGGAUGUCACCAAGUUUUAAUGUAAGGAAGUCACCUCUAAUUAGAAAAAAUAAAACUUUAAAAUAAUUAAACAUUGAACACAGUUAUUGGGAGGCUAAAUGUACGGUCCACAAAGCUACUUCUACAGCAGAGAAAGAUAUUAAGAUAUUGAAGUGAAUAUAUGUAAAUACUUUCUUAGAGAAAGGAAGAGUAGUCUUAUCUAGACUAAACUAUUACAGUCUUUGGUGUUAUCUCAGACUUGGCUUGCCUUGAACCCACACACACAUGUAUAGUUACAUGAAGUAUUAUAACCAAACCUUUCUUUCUACAUAGCUUGUAAAACUGAAUUUGGUGGAAAUAUUCACCCUCAAAUUCAAAGCUCAGAUAUGCAAGAUCUGAUCUCAUCUCUGUUGCAUGUUAUCAAGGCUUUUUUAUAGAUGUCAUUAUUAGUAUACUGAGAAUUGAGUUAUUUGUAUGUUUGGGCUAAAUAGUAUUCAUCUAGGACAUUUCACUUUCAGUAGAGUGAGUGAAAGCUGUGUAAGUUAGUCCAGAAGGAGAAUUAGAGUUUUAAUCAAUAUACUUGCUCAGAAAUGUUUCUAUUUCUUUUAUUUACUGGUUUUUUUCUUCCUUUUUGCUAGCAAGCAGAAGUAUUAUGAAGGUACUAUGGUGCAAUUGAGUGCAUUUUGCAUUUGAAUAGAGAACAACAUAUUUGCUGCAGUUGUGAUGAUUGUCUUCCUGUCAAGUAUGCUUGCUUCUCUUGAGGAACUUGGAUCUCAUAAACAAUAGAGUUGAGUGCCUUUUAUGCAGCUUGUUAGUUAUUGACAGUGAAGGAAUGAUCCAAUUAGUAAGUGAUUAAUCACACAUUUCUUUAGGUCUCAAACUAUUGAAAAUUUAUGGAAUAAAAGAGUAUUUCAUGCACGUCUUCACCUAAUGGGUAAUCACCAUCUGAGAAUGAGAACUACAUUUAGAACAAGAACAUGGGCAGCAGCACAAAGUACUAAUUAUUUGAUUAAUUCUCCUUGUCACUGAGAAACAUACCUUUGCCAGGCAAUCAUAAUUAUAAUGACAUUAAAAUUAACUAAUAUUUUAUUGUCCAUAAACAGCAAUGAAAAUAUUCAACAUUUCCAGUUUAACCAAUUCUUUGGCAUUUCAACAACAUAUGAAAGUAAAAUUUUCUACACAGAUUUAAUUGUGAGAUUAUGAGACAUGAGAAAAUGUGCAUAAUUUCAAAGAUUGAAAAUGUUUAAAUGCUGGUUUAGAGAAACUUACUUAACAUGCAAAGUGAAAUGUUUGAUUUUGUAAAAUACCACAGUUAAAUAGUAAAGGAAACACACAAUCCUUUAAAUAAAAUACAAAAUAUACACAUUUUUAUUUUGCGGAUGUACAAAUGCUUGUAGCAUGUACAUUUCAGCAUGAUUUAUCAAGCAUCUUAUAUGGUCCCAUUAUUAUAUGAUUUCCAGUUUUCAGUUGUUCAGUUACUAAAAGUAUCUGCUAAUUUUUCUUUAUUCCAGGCUAAACAAUCAUGACUAAAUUUCAGAUAAAUACUAACCUUAUUAUGGUUAAAUCUGACAGCUAUGUGGAAUAUAAUAAUAGUAUUUUGAUAAAGUAGAUGAUGAAAUAUGAUAGAAAAAUAUAGACUUGUCAGUGCUGAACCAUAGCCUCCAAACCUUUUCAAUUUUGCAAUAAAAUAGUUUAACUCAUAUUCAAUAUAGAAAAAAUGGAAGACUUCUUAAAUCAUAUUUCAUAUGUUGCUUGUUUAAACCAACGUAUCAUUGAUUUUGGUGUACUGUCUGUAUUUCAGCUGCAAGACUGACCUAGGCACCCUGGGUUCCCUUUGUAGGCAACAGAGCAAACUGGGACUUCAUCAACAUAAUUCUUUUCAUCCCAAAGUAGAUGGUUAAAACAUGUGGGCUAAAAGCACUCAUUUCUCAGAAUUGGCUGCAAGAGUACUUUAAAGUCAUGUAGAUUUCAACCUUAUUCCUUUUGUCUUUCCCACUCAGUAUAAUAUUGUAGAUUCAUCAAAGAAAUUAGCUUAAUUGAGCAUGAUCUGCUUUCAGUAAACCAGUGAAAAUAAAGGCAAGAAAGGAUUCCUUUGGAAAACUACCUUUGUGGUCCUGUCUAUAGUUAUCUUUCACGGGUGCAAUAUGGCAGAAUAGAUGGUGAGCUAGUGGACUUGAAGAUUUCUCAAAUCAUGAUAUUACUGAAGAGCUGGUUGCUCAGUUUUUAUUUAUGUUUCUUCUGUAGCUGAUUUUUCAAAAAAUAAAAUCACUUGACUGAUUUUUCUGUGCUUUGCCUCACAUUUAAACAAUACAGACUGAGUUACUUCACAGAAAAAACUCUACAGAUAGCCUUACUGGCCUUUAUGAUAGCAACCUUUUGUUGUGCUUGACUGUCCUAGUUAGAGCAGCCAGGACCAGUUUCAUCACUGUGUGGGUGUAAUCCAAACUGUGUAUUCUACAUCCUCCAUGUCAUUUCCCAGGAACUGUUAACAAUAGACCAUUUACAGCCGCUGCCCAGAGCACACCUGACUCCUCGGGCUAUAGUUAUGGGUGAUGUUAACUCUCCUCCAGGGAGUCAUGAGCACCUCCACACCCAGGCUGAGGGGUCAUGUCUGCUAAUGGGCCACCAAGGAUUCCAAAAAUAUCUCACUACUCACAACCACCUAUUGUGGAACUCCCCGCCCUGGGGGAGGUACUGGGCGUUCCCACUUGAACCUGAGUGUAUAUAAUCUUGGGGUCUUGGGACUUCUGGCCCACUGGUCGGAUCCGGAGGAGGACAAGAAUCUCGACCAGACUGCGACCACCACUUUCAACCAGACUGUGAUCACCACCCUCGACCAGACUGUGACCAGCACUCUCACCAAGAGGUUUUCCCUCUCCUUUUACUUUGGACUCAGGGGGACCAUGUGGGGCUCAGCAUGGGGGGCCAACGAACACCACUCUGUUCGUGCCCCAGGGUGCUGGGUUAUACAUCUGGGUUUUGUGGGUUAAAACCAAUUGUUUGUCCAUAUAAUUGUUUUAUUGUAUUAUUUUUAUUAAAUUGUACCUCUGACUUAUAA